rnacentral:rRNA from 1 species
AGCGAACGCUGGCGGCAGGCUUAACACAUGCAAGUCGAGCGGGCAUCCUUGUGGUGUCAGCGGCAGACGGGUGAGUAACGCGUGGGAACGUGCCCUUCGGUUCGGAAUAACUCAGGGAAACUUGAGCUAAUACCGGAUACGUGCGAGAGCUGAAAGGUUUAUCUGCCGAAGGAUCGGCCCGCGUCUGAUUAGCUAGUUGGUGAGGUUACGGCUCACCAAGGCGACGAUCAGUAGCUGGUCUGAGAGGAUGAUCAGCCACACUGGGACUGAGACACGGCCCAGACUCCUACGGGAGGCAGCAGUGGGGAAUAUUGGACAAUGGGGGCAACCCUGAUCCAGCCAUGCCGCGUGAGUGAUGACGGCCUUAGGGUUGUAAAGCUCUUUUCUCCGGGACGAUAAUGACGGUACCGGAGGAAUAAGCCCCGGCUAACUUCGUG